rnacentral:rRNA from 1 species
UACGUAGGGUGCGAGCGUUAUUCGGAAUUAUUGGGCGUAAAGCGUGCGCAGGCGGUUUUGUAAGCCAGAUGUGAAAUCCCCGGGCUUAACCUGGGAACUGCGUUUCUAACUGGCAGGCUUGAGUGUGGCAGAGGGGGGUGGAAUUCCACGUGUAGCAGUGAAAUGCGUAGAGAUGUGGAGGAACACCGAUGGCGAAGGCAGCCCCCUGGGCUGACACUGACGCUCAUGCACGAAAGCGUGGGGAGCAAACAGG